AUUCGAAGAUCAGUCGGGCCAGCCCCAGUGUAACCCUCACUGCAGCCUGACCAAGACGAGGCUGAAACAGCAAGAGCAUCUAACCCACACAAAAGCUGCUCUUGUGAAACUUAAGAGUUUACGUUCUUGGAGACAUUGAUGGAGAUAAUAACAACAACUAUGAUCAUCAUGACUGCCAUAACCAGCUCCUACUGUAUCCUAGCUCUGUGGAGAGCACAUCACCUCAUCACACAGCAACACUACAAGGACUGCCUCCACUUUAAGAUGUGAUUAAGUAACAUGCCCAAGGCCCGUAGCAAAGAAGCAGUAGAGCCAGAAAUUAAAUUUAGGGUUCUCCAAUUUCAGAAGCCAUGUUCUUAACUCUCUGUGGUAUUGCUCACCAUCUACAGACCAAACAGAUGAACCCUGAAUAAAACACACUUUUCCAAAG
ensembl:lncRNA novel transcript